AUAGUUAAAUAAUUAAUAUUCAACAAUGAAACGUUUGCCAAAGGCAAACGUUUCCAAUUAUUUUAAUAUUUAUUGUUAGAUUAUUUUGCUGGGCAUCGCGCGUAGCGUGAUGCAUCACCUGCGAACGAGGUAGUAAUACAUAGGUACACACCCCCGAGUCAGGAAUAACCUACCGAAAGGUAGGCUAAUACUUGAUAGUCCCGCAAGGGUAAAGAUUUAUCGCUUGGGGAGUGGCCUGUGCAGUAUCAGCUAGUUGGUAGGGUAAUGGCCUACCAAGGCAAUGACGCUUAGGAGAGCUGAGAGGCUGACCUCCACCGAUGGUACUGCGACACGGACCAUACACCUACGGGUGGCUGCAGUCGAGAAUCUUCCGCAAUGGACGCAAGUCUGACGGAGCGACGCCGCGUGACUGAUGAAGUCUUUCGGGAUGUAAAGGUCUUUUAUGAAGGAGAAAGUUUUGAUAGUACUUCAUGAAUAAGGGGUUGCUAAACUCGUGCCAGCAGCAGCGGUAAUACGAGUACCCCAAGCGUUAUCCGGAAUUAUUGGGCGUAAAGGGUAUGUAGGCGGUAAUGUUAGUCUUUUGUCAAAGCCUUCGGCUCAACCGGAGAAUUGCGGAGGAAACGGCAUAACUAGAGAGUGUGAGAGGUUUGCGGAACUCAUGGUGUAGGGGUGAAAUCCGUUGAUAUCAUGGGGAACACCAAAAGCGAAGGCAGCAAACUGGCACAUUUCUGACGCUGAAAUACGAAAGCGUAGGUAGCGAAUGGGAUUAGAUACCCCAGUAGUCUACGCCCUAAACGAUGAUAUCUAGCUUUUCGGAGUAUCGACCCUCUGAGAGGCACAGCUAACGCGUUAAGAUAUCCGCCUGGGAAGUACGACCGCAAGGUUAAAACUCAAAGGAAUAGACGGGGACUUGCACAAGCGGUGGAUCAGGUGGCUUAAUUCGAUGGUAAACGAAGAACCUCACCAGGGUUUGAAA
rnacentral:rRNA from 1 species